rnacentral:sRNA from 1 species
GCCAGGUGCAGUGGCACACACCUGUAAUCCCAGCAGCUUGGGAGGCUGAGGCAGGAGGAUCAUGAGUUCAAAGCCAGCCUCAGCAAAAGUGAGGCCCUAAGCGACUCAGUGAAACCCUGUCUUUA